rnacentral:rRNA from 1 species
GUAGGUGGCAAGCGUUGUCCGGAAUUAUUGGGCGUAAAGCGCGCGCAGGUGGUUCCUUAAGUCUGAUGUGAAAGCCCCCGGCUCAACCGGGGAGGGUCAUUGGAAACUGGGGAACUUGAGUGCAGGAGAGGAAAGUGGAAUUCCACGUGUAGCGGUGAAAUGCGUAGAUAUGUGGAGGAACACCAGUGGCGAAGGCGACUUUCUGGCCUGUAACUGACACUGAGGCGCGAAAGCGUGGGGAGCAAACAGGGAUUAGAUACCCUGGUAGUCCACGCCGUAAACGAUGAGUGCUAAGUGUUGGGGGGGUUUCCGCCCCCUCAGUGCUGCAGCUAACGCAUUAAGCACUCCGCCUGGGAGUACGGUCGCAAGACUG